rnacentral:rRNA from 1 species
UACGUAGGGGGCGAGCGUUGUCCGGAUUUAUUGGGCGUAAAGAGCUCGUAGGCGGCUUAGCAAGUCGGGUGUGAAAACUCCAGGCUCAACCUGGAGACGCCACUCGAGACUGCUAUGGCUAGAGUUCUGGAGGGGGUAGCGGAAUUCCUGGUGUAGCGGUGAAAUGCGUAGAUAUCAGGAGGAACACCGGUGGCGAAGGCGGCUACAUGGACAGAAACUGACGCUGAGGCGCGAAAGCUAGGGGAGCAAACAGG